rnacentral:rRNA from 1 species
UACGUAGGGUGCGAGCGUUGUCCGGAAUUACUGGGCGUAAAGAGCUCGUAGGCGGUUUGUCGCGUCGUCUGUGAAAUCCCGCAGCUCAACUGCGGGCUUGCAGGCGAUACGGGCAGACUCGAGUACUGCAGGGGAGACUGGAAUUCCUGGUGUAGCGGUGGAAUGCGCAGAUAUCAGGAGGAACACCGAUGGCGAAGGCAGGUCUCUGGGCAGUAACUGACGCUGAGGAGCGAAAGCAUGGGGAGCGAACAGG